rnacentral:rRNA from 1 species
GAUGAACGCUGGCGGCGUGCCUAAUACAUGCAAGUCGAGCGAACGGACGAGAAGCUUGCUUCUCUGAUGUUAGCGGCGGACGGGUGAGUAACACGUGGAUAACCUACCUAUAAGACUGGGAUAACUUCGGGAAACCGGAGCUAAUACCGGAUAAUAUUUUGAACCGCAUGGUUCAAAAGUGAAAGACGGUCUUGCUGUCACUUAUAGAUGGAUCCGCGCUGCAUUAGCUAGUUGGUAAGGUAACGGCUUACCAAGGCAACGAUGCGUAGCCUACCUGAGAGGGUGAUCGGCCACACUGGAACUGAGACACGGUCCAGACUCCUACGGGAGGCAGCAGUAGGGAAUCUUCCGCAAUGGGCGAAAGCUUGACGGAGCAACGCCGCGUGAGUGAUGAAGGUCUUCGGAUCGUAAAACUCUGUUAUUAGGGAAGAACAUAUGUGUAAGUAACUGUGCACAUCUUGACGGUACCUAAUCAGAAAGCCACGGCUAACUACGUG